rnacentral:rRNA from 1 species
UUUGACCUCAAAUCAGGUAGGACUACCCGCUGAACUUAAGCAUAUCAAUAAGCGGAGGAAAAGAAACUAACAAGGAUUCCCCUAGUAACUGCGAGUGAAGCGGGAAAAGCUCAAAUUUGAAAUCUGGCAGUCUUUUUUUUCUUCUUUGGCUGUCCGAGUUGUAAUCUAGAGAAGUGCUUACCUGCGCUGGACCAUGUAUAAGUCUCCUGGAAUGGAGCGUCACAGAGGGUGAGAAUCCCGUCUUUGACAUGGACUGCCAGCGUGUUGUGGUGUGCUCUCAAAGAGUCGAGUUGUUUGGGAAUGCAGCUCUAAACGGGUGGUAAACUCCAUCUAAAGCUAAACAUUGGCGAGAGACCGAUAGCGAACAAGUACCGUGAGGGAAAGAUGAAAAGGACUUUGGAAAGAGAGUUAAACAGUAUGUGAAAUUGUUGAAAGGGAAACGCUUGAAGUCAGUUGUGUCGGCUGGGGAUCAACCUAGCUGUCUUGCUGGGUGAUUUUCCUAGUCUUGACAGGCCAACAUCAGUCUUGGCUGCUGGAAAAGAGCAGGGGGAAUGUGGCACCUUUGGGUGUGUUAUAGCCCUUUGUCAUAUGCAGUGGCUGGGACUGAGGGAUGCAGCGUGCUGUGAGGCCGGGUUUCGACCACGUUCACGCUUGGGAUGUUGGCUUUUAAUGGCUUCAAUCGACCCGUCUUGAAACACGGACCAAGGAGUCUAACAUGCCUGCGAGUGUUUGGGUGGGGGAAAACCCUUGCGCGCAAUGAAAGUGAAAGUUGAGAUCCCUGUCAUGGGGAGCAUCGACGCCCGGACUUGAGCUUUCAGCGACGGAUCCGCGGUAGAGCAUGCAUGUUGGGACCCGAAAGAUGGUGAACUAUGCCUGAAUAGGGCAAAGCCAGAGGAAACUCUGGUGGAGGCUCGUAGCGAUUCUGACGUGCAAAUCGAUCGUCAAAUUUGGGUAUAGGGGCGAAAGACUAAUCGA